rnacentral:rRNA from 1 species
AUUCUGGCUCAGGAUGAACGCUGGCGGCAUGCCUAAUACAAUGCAAGUCGAACGAGGUGCCUUGUAGCAAUACGAGGGUAUCCUAGUGGCGAACGGGUGAGGUAACGCGUUGGUGACCUGCCCCCGAAGUGUGGGGAUAACAGUCCGAAAGGAUUGCUAAUACCGCAUGCGGUCAUCGGAUUUAGAAACCGAUGACCAAAGCAGCAAUGCGCUUUGGGAGGGACCUGCGUCCCAUCAGCUAGUUGGUAGGGUAACGGCCUACCAAGGCGACGACGGGUAGGGGACCUGAGAGGGUGACCCCCCACAAUGGAACUGAAAUACGGUCCAUACACCUACGGGUGGCAGCAGUAGGGAAUAUUGCACAAUGGGCGAAAGCCUGAUGCAGACCAACGCCGCGUGCACGAUGAAGGUCUUCGGAUCGUAAAGUGCUUUUCUGGGAGAUGAGAAAGGACAGUAUCCCAGGAAUAAGUCUCGGCUAACUACGUGCCAGCCGCCGC